CCUUCUCCCUCUCCCUCCUUAACACACCCUUCCCUCACUUUUUUAAUUUCCAACUCCUUCCCUAAUCCUCCCUUUUAAGAUAGGAUCUCACUGUGUAGCCUGGUCCCUUCUCAAACUCAAGAACUUCCUCUCUCAGCCUCCUGGGUGCCAGGAUACAGGCAUACACCAUUACAGCCUUCCAGCCAGCAGUUCUUUAAACUGCCCUUCCCCUCGGAGCUCCUGCAUCCAUAGCUCUGUCCACUUGGAUUGUCUCGUGACCUUUUAUGUCGAUUUUUUUUUUUUUUCGGAGCUGGGGAUCGAACCCACGGCCUUGCGCUUGCUAGGCAAGUGCUCUACCGCUGAGCUAAAUCCCCAACCCCGUCUCGUGACCUUUUAAUCUGGCUCCUUGUUUACAGCAGGAGCCUUCUUCCUCCCAGAAGGCUUUCAGGCACUUCAUUCAGGGUUAGUUCCUGCUUCCACACAACCCAUUGGUUCUCAGCCAUUCACAUCAGCAUCACCGGAGGGUUUAUGAAAGCGUUGAUUGGUGGCCUGCUCCCCCAUCUGCAUUAUUUGACUUGGAUUGGUCCUGCCAAUGUGCAUUUCUAACAAGCUCUCCGGGGGGGAUGCAGAUGCUACCACAGCCCCUGGCAGCCAUCCCCCUUGAUAUCAUUUAUCCUGCUGGCUUGCAACUACCCACUUAUUCCCUCCCCCUAGGGACAGCUGGGGUUGUCUUUUUCCUCUCCAAGCCUAUGUGGCUUAGACAGCUGUGUGCACGGUGAAGCUGCUCGCUGGAGGUUUGCUGAUUAAAUGAGUUGUGGAUUCAGAGGAGGCUAGCUGAUCGCUGAGCUUAGUAGAAGGCUGGAGAAGGUGUCUGUCUCUCCGAGGAGGCUGCUGGGCAGGAGGUCUGACUUUUCAGGGUCCACAGGAUGGGUCUCUUAUUUAACCUGGAGCUCACAGAGCCUGCCGUAUUUGCAGCAAACCUUAGGAUCCUCUGCUCUCUGCCUCCCCAGGGCUAGGAUUACAGAGCCCAUUACUGUGCACCGGUCCAGUGAGUCUGCAUGAUGGAGGCUUCCUUUACUCAUGAGCCAUCCACAGAAGCCAAUUCAAGGGUUGGGUUAGCUGCUCAGUGGUGCAGAACUUGUUCAGUGUGUGUGCAAGGAUCCGGGCUUGAACCCCAGCCCUGAAAAAAAAUUUUCUCUGCUCUAUAACUGUGUUGCUGGUAUUAGGUCUUGUAUUAACCCCAUGUCAUUUUGUUUUUUGAGGUGGGUUUCAGGUAGUCCACAACUAGUCCCAAACUUGCCAGGUCCUCAAAGAUGUCAAGGAUGAUCUCCAACUCCAGGUUCUCUUGUCCAUCCUCCUGAGUUUGGUUAGAGGUGGGUACCACCAUGCCUCCUUUCUUUUUUAUUCUUUCCCUUCUUCUUUUUUUUUUUUUUUUCUUUUUUUCAGAGCUGGGGACCGAACCCAGGGCCUUGCACUUGCUAGGCAACCGCUCUACCACUGAGCUAAAUCCCCAACUGCCUUUCCCUUCUUCUUUAUGUUUGUGUAAGAAGGUCUCACUCCAGCCGGGGCUGGCCUUGAACUUGGCAGCGGUUCUUCUGAAUCAGCCUCUCGAACAUUGAGUUAUAGGUGUGAGUCACCAUGCCCUGCACAUUCUACUUUUUUUUUUUUCCCCCUUCGGAGCUGAGGACCGAACCCAGGGCCUUGCGCUUGCUAGGCAAGCGCUCUACCACUGAGCUAAAUCCCCAAUUCCCACAUUCUACUUCUUAAUAAUCUCUGUAGUUUACCCCGGCUCCUCCUUCAGCACCUUUGAUGUUCUACAGCUCAGAGAGCCUAGCAGGAGAGAGUUUAAAGUCUGGCUCUGCCACUUGUCCCUUGUGUCAACUCGGACAAGCUAUAGUUGCUAUCAGGCCUCCGAUGCUUCUUCAAGAAGAUGAAGUGCUGCCCCUCCCCCAUAGCGGAAACACUGUGCGCCCUGUCCCGGUGGUGCCAGGUUCUUUGUGAGCCCGUGAGUGGCCUCUCCCUCGGACCAGACUUCAAGUUCAAAUCUAGCCUUCAAGCUUUGUCUUCACAUGUCCCAGAAGUGGCCAGCUUCCUGAAUAGCUUAUAAGGGGGGUCCGUGGAGCUGGACACGAGCUCUUUUACCCAGUCUAAGUUCAGCCGGAAAGCCAGCCCUCAGACAGGAGGGAGGAAAAAUUAUUAAAGGAUUAAGUCCAGAAUAAUCCUCUAUAUCCCUGGAGGCUCAGAAAGCAAUAAGCCCCGGACUUAAAAAUCCCAUCUGUGGAGUCAGGGUGGUGGCCCCAGUGUUCGGAGGCAGGGAAUAGGUUUCAAGGGUGCAGUGUGGCCAGAUCUUUGCUAAAAUAUGGUCUCAUUCUGGACGCUUGGACAGCAUUUCCCCUUCAUCUUGUCAUGGUUUUUAAUAAUAAGGAGUGAGCUGCAGAAGUAGGGGAAAUCUUUUUCUGAGAUUCCACAAAAAAAAAAAAAUUUUUUUUUAAUUAAAACCCGCAAGUCGUGAAACUUCAUCCUUGUAAAGGGAGACAUCUUGGGGCUUGGCCUCUAGCAGAUCUCACUCCUGGGAGCUGGGGUUCACACUGGCCCCUCCCCAGUCACUGAUGGAGACCAGUCUGACAAGUGACAUCAGCUCAAGUGUACAGCAGCUCUGAGCUAUCUGGGGUGAAGGAGAUUCCUGUCUCCUACCUGGAAAAUCCAGGAGGGUCACAGACAUGGAGAAGGGGACAUUUCAAGGGCCUGAAGGCAGGCCCCAGAGUGUGGGCUGUGGGGGACACUGAGUGUUCUGAGCUUUGGGGACAGAAAAUGUAGUUUCUACUUUUUCCUAGACCAGGAGAACACAGGAGACUUGGAGCCGGUCUGUGUGUGUGUGUGUGUGUGUGUGUGUGUGUGUGUGUGUGUGUGUGUGUGUGUGUGUUGCAUUGCAUUGCAGUCUGGCUGCUAUGAUGUCAUAAAGUAGCUUACAACAAGGUCAACUCCUUUCCUUUCCUUCCUUUUCUUUCCUUUCCCUUCCUUCUUUUCUUUCUGAGAUAGGGUUUCUCUGU
rnacentral:sRNA from 1 species